GCCUUCGUGGUGUAACGGUAGCAUACUCGACGCGUAUUCGAGAGGUCCAGGUUCGAGUCCCGGCAAGGGCA
rnacentral:tRNA from 1 species